rnacentral:lncRNA from 1 species
UUCCUGGCCAAAUCAAACACUUGUAACAGCUGCAACAGGAACCAGCAUACUUGUCAAUUAAUUCCAGAUUUCUCCUGGUUCAGAUAACCCUUGGGGAUUAUAUUUGUUUAUAUUUGCACUUUUAGGGUUAACUCCUAAGAGGGAUGGAAACCAAAGUUAGGCACACGUGGUAGAGACUUCCUUUCUGUUGGUACCAUUUAAAAGUUUCAGAGAAAGUUACUACUGCCAUUGUAAAGUAUCCACCCAGGACCUGAUGAGAUAAAAUCUGUCACAGUUGACAAUGGAAUGCAGAGAUGUUUGUCUUAGAAAUCACUCUGUGGACUCAUCCAGGGCAAAUCAAUUUA